GAAUCCCAGGGACAAAAAGGCAGGGAAGAAUUCAAAGAGACAGAAUUGGUGGAUUUUGAUGCUGCUGGUUUCUCUUAACAGAAACGAUAUCAAGACCCAAAUCACGUCCAAGGCCUUAAAUGCCCCCCCUUAUGAGCGCAAUCUGGAGUUGUGAGUUGAAGUUGCAACCGAAGCAGAAACAAAAGCCCAGAAGAAAUUAGCUGCGUCGGAGGCUGAGAUUAGCUGCUUUUUGAUAAUUCUUUUGUUUAUAAAGAACUGUGUUUGCAAUCCUGGAUUCCCCUGCACCCCCAAACUAACCUAAAGAUCUUAUUUCGGAUUUUACUAAUUAUUUUUCCCUAUUAUAGUUAAUAGAGUAGAUGCUGACAGAGCUCUUGGUUCUCUCAUUUGAGUAGUGAGAUGGAUAGCUCCUUGCAUAGUUAUCACAAAUGAUUAGAAGCAACUCAAGAGCUAAAUAUGCUGGAACAAGAUUUAAACUUCAUGACGACUAAAGAAGAAAAGAAGCUGACGCAGGAGAGAAAUGUGGCUGAUAUAGUUUCAGAUGCUGAAGCAAGAGACCUCAGAUGCAUGUAAUCCCACGGCAUGCAAAAGCUGCUCAACACACGCAUUGGUGACUGGCUAAAAUGUGCUCUGAAAGAGAUAUAGGACUGAUUGUGGUAAGAAGGGCAAGCAUUGAAACAAUGUUUCAUGAUUUGUACCUGAAGUUUCUUGAUAAACCAAAUUUGAAACCAUUGAACAGAGAUUGUGUAGGCCACUUGUGAAAACUGCACGGUCUGAUUUUUCUACUUACGUUAUUCAUUUUGGGAAGCCGGAUCGAAUUUAUAAAUACUGGUGAUGCAUUAGAUACAUACAGACUAUAUAUAUACUAUAGCCUUUCUUCUUGUAUGAAUUUAUCUCAAUUGUUGAGAGUUUAGUCAUUGGAAUCAGUGUGUUGUUAAAGGUAUGCUUUAUUUUAGCUUUUAACAAACUUGUAAAAACCCAUUUCUGCUAGAAAAUGAGUUGGCUAAUGAAGCGAAAGAGGUUGAGAUUCAGGUAAAAAAGGCCAUAUCAUGUUCAUCUGACUUAUGUGCCCGCCGUUGCUACCCAUGGCUGUUACUGAAUUUGCCAUUUUUCUCAUACAAACUUUCGUUACGAAUAAUUCUAAAGAUAUAACAGAGCUUCACAAUCUUAUUGAUGCUCUUACGUAUUUUCCUAAUUUUCUGCUUCCAGCAAUGGCCGGAAUAUUAUAUCUAGAGUCCUUAAAAGUUUUCCUAAUUUUUCAGCUUGCUGCAAGACCUUAAUCCCCAGAGUCAUUACAACAGCUGAUUGAAAUAGCUAAGAACCCUGCUAAUUCUUGAAAUUUAUCUCCGUUGGCUGUUGGUAAAGAAGAAGAAAUUGCACGAAUCCCAGGGACAAAAAGGCAGGGAAGAAUUCAAAGAGACAGAAUUGGUGGAUUUUGAUGCUGCUGGUUUCUCUUAACAGAAACGAUAUCAAGACCCAAAUCACGUCCAAGGCCUUAAAUGCCCCCCCUUAUGAGCGCAAUCUGGAGUUGUGAGUUGAAGUUGCAACCGAAGCAGAAACAAAAGCCCAGAAGAAAUUAGCUGCGUCGGAGGCUGAGAUUAGCUGCUUUGUGAUAAUUCUUUUGUUUAUAAAGAACUGUGUUUGCAAUCCUGGAUUCCCCUGCACCCCCAAACUAACCUAAAGAUCUUAUUUCGGAUUUUACUAAUUAUUUUUCCCUAUUAUAGUUAAUAGAGUAGAUGCUGACAGAGCUCUUGGUUCUCUCAUUUGAGUAGUGAGAUGGAUAGCUCCUUGCAUAGUUAUCACAAAUGAUUAGAAGCAACUCAAGAGCUAAAUAUGCUGGAACAAGAUUUAAACUUUAUGACGACUAAAGAAGAAAAGAAGCUGACGCAGGAGAGAAAUGUGGCUGAUAUAGUUUCAGAUGCUGAAGCAAGAGACCUCAGAUGCAUGUAAUCCCACGGCAUGCAAAAGCUGCUCAACACACGCAUUGGUGACUGGCUAAAAUGUGCUCUGAAAGAGAUAUAGGACUGAUUGUGGUAAGAAGGGCAAGCAUUGAAACAAUGUUUCAUGAUUUGUACCUGAAGUUUCUUGAUAAACCAAAUUUGAAACCAUUGAACAGAGAUUGUGUAGGCCACUUGUGAAAACUGCACGGUCUGAUUUUUCUACUUACGUUAUUCAUUUUGGGAAGCCGGAUCGAAUUUAUAAAUACUGGUGAUGCAUUAGAUACAUACAGACUAUAUAUAUACUAUAGCCUUUCUUCUUGUAUGAAUUUAUCUCAAUUGUUGAGAGUUUAGUCAUUGGAAUCAGUGUGUUGUUAAAGCUUGCUGCAAGACCUUAAUCCCUAGAGUCAUUACAACAGCUGAUUGAAAUAGCUGAGAACCCUGCUAAUUCUUGAAAUUUAUCUCCGUUGGUUGUUGGUAAAGAAGAAGAAAUUGCACGAAUCCCAGGGACAAAAAGGCAGGGAAGAAUUCAAAGAGACAGAAUUGGUGGAUUUUGAUGCUGCUGGUUUCUCUUAACAGAAACGAUAUCAAGACCCAAAUCACGUCCAAGGCCUUAAAUGCCCCCCCUUAUGAGCGCAAUCUGGAGUUGUGAGUUGAAGUUGCAACCGAAGCAGAAACAAAAGCCCAGAAGAAAUUAGCUGCGUCGGAGGCUGAGAUUAGCUGCUUUGUGAUAAUUCUUUUGUUUAUAAAGAACUGUGUUUGCAAUCCUGGAUUCCCCUGCACCCCCAAACUAACCUAAAGAUCUUAUUUCGGAUUUUACUAAUUAUUUUUCCCUAUUAUAGUUAAUAGAGUAGAUGCUGACAGAGCUCUUGGUUCUCUCAUUUGAGUAGUGAGAUGGAUAGCUCCUUGCAUAGUUAUCACAAAUGAUUAGAAGCAACUCAAGAGCUAAAUAUGCUGGAACAAGAUUUAAACUUUAUGACGACUAAAGAAGAAAUGAAGCUGACGCAGGAGAGAAAUGUGGCUGAUAUAGUUUCAGAUGCUGAAGCAAGAGACCUCAGAUGCAUGUAAUCCCACGGCAUGCAAAAGCUGCUCAACACACGCAUUGGUGACUGGCUAAAAUGUGCUCUGAAAGAGAUAUAGGACUGAUUGUGGUAAGAAGGGCAAGCAUUGAAACAAUGUUUCAUGAUUUGUACCUGAAGUUUCUUGAUAAACCAAAUUUGAAACCAUUGAACAGAGAUUGUGUAGGCCACUUGUGAAAACUGCACGGUCUGAUUUUUCUACUUACGUUAUUCAUUUUGGGAAGCCGGAUCGAAUUUAUAAAUACUGCUUGCUGCAAGACCUUAAUCCCCAGAGUCAUUACAACAGCUGAUUGAAAUAGCUAAGAACCCUGCUAAUUCUGGAAAUUUAUCUCCGUUGGCUGUUGGUAAAGAAGAAGAAAUUGCACGAAUCCCAGGGACAAAAAGGCAGGGAAGAAUUCAAAGAGACAGAAUUGGUGGAUUUUGAUGCUGCUGGUUUCUCUUAACAGAAACGAGAUCAAGACCCAAAUCACGUCCAAGGCCUUAAAUGCCCCCCCUUAUGAGCGCAAUCUGGAGUUGUGAGUUGAAGUUGCAACCGAAGCAGAAACAAAAGCCCAGAAGAAAUUAGCUGCGUCGGAGGCUGAGAUUAGCUGCUUUGUGAUAAUUCUUUUGUUUAUAAAGAACUGUGUUUGCAAUCCUGGAUUCCCCUGUACCCCCAAACUAACCUAAAGAUCUUAUUUCGGAUUUUACUAAUUAUUUUUCCCUAUUAUAAUUAAUAGAGUAGAUGCUGACAGAGCUCUUGGUUCUCUCAUUUGAGUAGUGAGAUGGAUAGCUCCUUGCAUAGUUAUCACAAAUGAUUAGAAGCAACUCAAGAGCUAAAUAUGCUGGAACAAGAUUUAAACUUUAUGACGACUAAAGAAAAAAAGAAGCUGACGCAGGAGAGAAAUGUGGCUGAUAUAGUUUCAGAUGCUGAAGCAAGAGACCUCAGAUGCAUGUAAUCCCACGGCAUGCAAAAGCUGCUCAACACACGCAUUGGUGACUGGCUAAAAUGUGCUCUGAAAGAGAUAUAGGACUGAUUGUGGUAAGAAGGGCAAGCAUUGAAACAAUGUUUCAUGAUUUGUACCUGAAGUUUCUUGAUAAACCAAAUUUGAAACCAUUGAACAGAGAUUGUGUAGGCCACUUGUGAAAACUGCACGGUCUGAUUUUUCUACUUACGUUAUUCAUUUUGGGAAGCCGGAUCGAAUUUAUAAAUACUGGUGAUGCAUUAGAUACAUACAGACUAUAUAUAUACUAUAGCCUUUCUUCUUGUAUGAAUUUAUCUCAAUUGUUGAGAGUUUAGUCAUUGGAAUCAGUGUGUUGUUAAAGCUUGCUGCAAGACCUUAAUCCCCAGAGUCAUUACAACAGCUGAUUGAAAUAGCUAAGAACCCUGCUAAUUCUGGAAAUUUAUCUCCGUUGGCUGUUGGUAAAGAAGAAGAAAUUGCACGAAUCCCAGGGACAAAAAGGCAGGGAAGAAUUCAAAGAGACAGAAUUGGUGGAUUUUGAUGCUGCUGGUUUCUCUUAACAAGUACAAAUAUUGGAUCUACCUUUGAUUUCAUAUUUAUGUAUGCAGGCGGCAGUAGUAUAAUGAUUGUUUUAGAAGAGAUUUGAUGCAGUUCUGUGUUAUGUUUGUCAUAUGGGGGGGUUUGAUAAUGCUUGUGACCUCUACACACACUAAAUAAUGGUUUUAUCUCCAACUCUCUAUCUCCGUCUGACAUGUUCAUGUGAUUAUGCUUGCAAUUGACACAUUAUAUAACUUACUUUGUUGGUAUUCAUAAAAGAAGGAUGUUGUCUGCGAAUUUUCUCAAUUAUUGUCUCCUGAACACAAAUGAAUGCUUUGGAAUUUUUAUCCACCGAUCGCUUACAUUGCAGUCCCAACAAUUUGUCUUCUUGUCUUUAAAUUGAUUUUCAAGAUAACACAGGGGCGUCUUGUCUUGUGUUGCAUUUGCAUACGCAUUUUAACAUCCAGUUGAUUUCCUAAAACAUCUUUAACUGUGCCUCCUUCCCAUUUUAAAUGUUUAAUUUCUUUUGGGCAAGGUUACUAAGGAGAGAAGGUUGAUUGGAUUAAGAAGUGGUGUCCUAGGGACCACAUGUAUAAUGUUAAAAAAGUGAUAUGGCCCAUUUAAUUUUAUCCAUAAAUUAGGUUGAAUUAUGCUUUCAAGUAAUAAUUUGUAUGCACUGUGUUUGAUUCCACGCGAUAAAUAAUGGUCGGAGAGAUGCGUGUAUACACUAGUCAUCUUGGGAUGAACUUCUGUGGUGCGUGUGGGUACAUGCAUGUAAUUUUUCCACUUUAUGUGCUUUAUUUUGUGUUAAACUAAUGCUAUAGUUUCCCCAUUUUAUGUUAUUUAGGUUGCAAUUUUAGUUGCCAUGUUUCCAUCAAGGAUCUUGUCAAUUUUUUAGUCUUUAGUCUAUCUAUAAGAGGAGAUUAUAUGAAAAAUGUAACCGAUUCUUUCGUUUCUUUGGGCUACUGGCCAUCUGCCGGGAAUUUCGGAUACAUUUUAGUUGCCGUUGUUUUGUGUGAAUGAACCAUGUUUUGUAGUAUUUCUGUAGACUAUAAAAUUUGGAACGGCUUUUUUCUUCAAAUAUUUCUCAUAGAACAUCAUACUUUAUUCUUCUUUUUUUACUUUUGAAAUGCUAUGUCAUAUGUUAGUGCAACUUGUAGAAACGAGAUCAAGACCCAAAUCACGUCCAAGGCCUUAAAUGCCCCCCCUUAUGAGCGCAAUCUGGAGUUGUGAGUUGAAGUUGCAACCGAAGCAGAAACAAAAGCCCAGAAGAAAUUAGCUGCGUCGGAGGCUGAGAUUAGCUGCUUUGUGAUAAUUCUUUUGUUUAUAAAGAACUGUGUUUGCAAUCCUGGAUUCCCCUGUACCCCCAAACUAACCUAAAGAUCUUAUUUCGGAUUUUACUAAUUAUUUUUCCCUAUUAUAAUUAAUAGAGUAGAUGCUGACAGAGCUCUUGGUUCUCUCAUUUGAGUAGUGAGAUGGAUAGCUCCUUGCAUAGUUAUCACAAAUUAUUAGAAGCAACUCAAGAGCUAAAUAUGCUGGAACAAGAUUUAAACUUUAUGACGACUAAAGAAGAAAAGAAGCUGACGCAGGAGAGAAAUGUGGCUGAUAUAGUUUCAGAUGCUGAAGCAAGAGACCUCAGAUGCAUGUAAUCCCACGGCAUGCAAAAGCUGCUCAACACACGCAUGUGUUUAUGUGCUGCAGAUUGAAUGGGUGGGGUAAAGAUGGUUUUGAUGUCAUUCUAACAAAAAUGGAGAAACAAAUUAGCGUGCCAGGAACCAUUUCCUCUCCAUACUAUUUGUGGCUCUAUUUGGAAGAUGUUGAUGGUCAACAAUCUUUUCUAAAAACCGCCAUCUCUACACCACAUGAAAUAUUUACAUUUGCUCAUUCCGAAAGGCAGCUGUCCUUUGAUGAUGCUGUGUUUGGACAUUCAUUGCCAUCCGGACCAUAUUGUGCUUGGCCGUGUUAUGAUCUGUUGAUAGUUCUUUAUCAGAAUGUAGUGUGUUUAUUUACAUAGUAAAUGUCAUUUUGGUCCUAAACAUUUGUCUAAAUAUGAAUUUGGUCAAACACAUUAAUUUUUUGAAAAACGGGUCCAUAACAAAUACCCUUUUCUUGAUGGUUCCGAGAAAAAAAUAACGGUUAACGCUAAUUGUACAGUGGCAUGACCGUUAGUUUUUUGACGAAGCUGUCAAAAAAGGACCACUCCGACGAGGAUUUCAUUUGUUAUCGACCAGUUUUUUAAAAGUGAAUGUUUUGGACCGAAUUCGUAUUUUGAUCAUAUGUUUAGGACCAAAAUUGAUCUUUACUCUUAUUUAUAAUGUGUAGUGUUUUUAUUUAUUUAGUUUGUGUAGUGGUGUAUAUGUGUGCAAUGUAGUGUAUUUCGUUAUAGUGUGUACAAUUUGUAGUGUGUGAAAUAUAUGUUGUGUAGUUUAUGUAUAUUAUAUGCAGCAUGUGUUUUGAGUGUGUAA